UGGAGUCUGCAACUCGACUCCAUGAAGUCGGAAUCGCUAGUAAUCGUGGAUCAGAAUGCCACGGUGAAUACGUUCCCGGGCCUUGUACACACCGCCCGUCACACCAUGGGAGUGGGCUGCACCAGAAGUGGUUAGUUUAACCUUCGGGAGAACGAUCACCACGGUGUGGUUCAUGACUGGGGUGAAGUCGUAACAAGGUAGCCGUAGGGGAACCUGCGGCUGGAUCACCUCCUUACA
rnacentral:rRNA from 1 species